UACGGAGGGGGCUAGCGUUGUUCGGAAUUACUGGGCGUAAAGCGCGUGUAGGCGGCCAUCUAAGUCGGGCGUGAAAUCCCACGGCUCAACCGUGGAAGUGCACUCGAAACUGGAUGGCUAGAGUCCUGGAGAGGAAGGUGGAAUGCUUGGUGUAGAGGUGAAAUUCGUAGAUAUCAAGCGGAACACCGGUGGCGAAGGCGGCCUUCUGGACAGUGACUGACGCUGAGACGCGAAAGCGUGGGGAGCAAACAGGG
rnacentral:rRNA from 1 species